rnacentral:rRNA from 1 species
UACGUAGGUGACAAGCGUUAUCCGGAAUUACUGGGCGUAAAGCGCACGCAGGCGGCGCAUUAAGUCUGAUGUGAAAUCUCCCGGCUUAACUGGGAGGGGUCAUUGGAAACUGAUGUGCUCGAGGCGGUGAGAGGGGUGUAGAAUUCCCGGUGUAGUGGUGGAAUGCGUAGAUAUCGGGAGGAAUACCAGUGGCGAAGGCGGCUAUCUGGCUCACAACUGACGAUCAGGCACGAAAGCGUGGGGAGCAAACAGG